CAUUGGCAAAGAAAAAACACGGCCCUGUAGGUAGUCAGGGCGGUCCCUUCCGGAUCCCGUAACCAUCCUUGGAUGUCCGUCUUUGCCUCUGGAGUG
rnacentral:ncRNA from 1 species